CUUAAUGGUGAUGGGGGUAUUGACUUAAUGGUGAUGGAUGUGUUGGCUUAAUGGUGAUGGGGGUAUUGACUUAAUGGUGAUGGAUGUGUUGGCUUAAUGGUGAUGGAUGUGUUGGCUUAAUGGUGAUGGAUGUGUUGGCUUAAUGGUGAUGGAUGUGUUGGCUUAAUGGUGAUGGAUGUGUUGGCUUAAUGGUGAUGGAUGUGUUGGCUUAAUGGUGAUGGAUGUGUUGGCUUAAUGGUGAUGGAUGUGUUGGCUUAAUGGUGAUGGGGGUAUUGGCUUAAUGGUGAUGGAUGUGUUGGCUUAAUGGUGAUGGGGGUAUUGGCUUAAUGGUGAUGGAUGUGUUGGCUUAAUGGUGAUGGGGGUAUUGGCUUAAUGGUGAUGGAUGUGUUGGCUUAAUGGUGAUGGAUGUGUUGGCUUAAUGGUGAUGGAUGUGUUGGCUUAAUGGUGAUGGAUGUGUUGGCUUAAUGGUGAUGGAUGUGUUGGCUUAAUGGUGAUGGAUGUGUUGGCUUAAUGGUGAUGGAUGUGUUGGCUUAAUGGUGAUGGAUGUGUUGGCUUAAUGGUGAUGGGGGUAUUGACUUAAUGGUGAUGGAUGUGUUGGCUUAAUGGUGAUGGAUGUGUUGGCUUAAUGGUGAUGGGGGUAUUGACUUAAUGGUGAUGGAUGUGUUGGCUUAAUGGUGAUGGAUGUGUUGGUUUAAUGGUGAUGGAUGUGUUGGCUUAAUGGUGAUGGAUGUGUUGGCUUAAUGGUGAUGGAUGUGUUGGCUUAAUGGUGAUGGGGGUAUUGACUUAAUGGUGAUGGAUGUGUUGGCUUAAUGGUGAUGGAUGUGUUGGCUUAAUGGUGAUGGAUGUGUUGGCUUAAUGGUGAUGGAUGUGUUGGCUUAAUGGUGAUGGAUGUGUUGGUUUAAUGGUGAUGGAUGUGUUGGCUUAAUGGUGAUGGAUGUGUUGGCUUAAUGGUGAUGGAUGUGUUGGCUUAAUGGUGAUGGAUGUGUUGGCUUAAUGGUGAUGGGUGUGUUGGCUUAAUGGUGAUGGAUGUGUUGGCUUAAUGGUGAUGGGUGUAUUGACUUAAUGGUGAUGGGGGUGUUGGCUUAAUGGUGAUGGAUGUGUUGGCUUAAUGGUGAUGGAUGUGUUGGCUUAAUGGUGAUGGAUGUGUUGGCUUAAUGGUGAUGGAUGUGUUGGCUUAAUGGUGAUGGAUGUGUUGGCUUAAUGGUGAUGGAUGUGUUGGCUUAAUGGUGAUGGAUGUGUUGGCUUAAUGGUGAUGGAUGUGUUGGCUUAAUGGUGAUGGGGGUAUUGACUUAAUGGUGAUGGAUGUGUUGGCUUAAUGGUGAUGGAUGUGUUGGCUUAAUGGUGAUGGGGGUAUUGACUUAAUGGUGAUGGAUGUGUUGGCUUAAUGGUGAUGGGGGUAUUGACUUAAUGGUGAUGGAUGUGUUGGCUUAAUGGUGAUGGGGGUAUUGACUUAAUGGUGAUGGGGGUAUUGACUUAAUGGUGAUGGGGGUAUUGACUUAAUGGUGAUGGAUGUGUUGGCUUAAUGGUGAUGGAUGUGUUGGCUUAAUGGUGAUGGAUGUGUUGGCUUAAUGGUGAUGGAUGUGUUGGCUUAAUGGUGAUGGGGGUAUUGACUUAAUGGUGAUGGAUGUGUUGGCUUAAUGGUGAUGGAUGUGUUGGCUUAAUGGUGAUGGAUGUGUUGGCUUAAUGGUGAUGGAUGUGUUGGCUUAAUGGUGAUGGAUGUGUUGGCUUAAUGGUGAUGGAUGUGUUGGCUUAAUGGUGAUGGGGGUGUUGGCUUAAUGGUGAUGGAUGUGUUGGCUUAAUGGUGAUGGAUGUGUUGGCUUAAUGGUGAUGGAUGUGUUGGCUUAAUGGUGAUGGAUGUGUUGGCUUAAUGGUGAUGGAUGUGUUGGCUUAAUGGUGAUGGAUGUGUUGGCUUAAUGGUGAUGGGGGUGUUGGCUUAAUGGUGAUGGAUGUGUUGGCUUAAUGGUGAUGGAUGUGUUGGCUUAAUGGUGAUGGAUGUGUUGACUUAAUGGUGAUGGAUGUGUUGGCUUAAUGGUGAUGGGGGUGUUGGCUUAAUGGUGAUGGAUGUGUUGGCUUAAUGGUGAUGGAUGUGUUGGCUUAAUGGUGAUGGGUGUGUUGGCUUAAUGGUGAUGGAUGUGUUGGCUUAAUGGUGAUGGGGGUAUUGACUUAAUGGUGAUGGGGGUAUUGACUUAAUGGUGAUGGGUGUGUUGGCUUAAUGGUGAUGGGGGUAUUGACUUAAUGGUGAUGGGGGUAUUGACUUAAUGGUGAUGGGUGUGUUGGCUUAAUGGUGAUGGGUGUGUUGGCUUAAUGGUGAUGGGGGUGUUGGCUUAAUGGUGAUGGAUGUGUUGGCUUAAUGGUGAUGGGGGUAUUGACUUAAUGGUGAUGGAUGUGUUGGCUUAAUGGUGAUGGGGGUAUUGACUUAAUGGUGAUGGAUGUGUUGGCUUAAUGGUGAUGGGGGUAUUGACUUAAUGGUGAUGGGGGUAUUGACUUAAUGGUGAUGGGUGUGUUGGCUUAAUGGUGAUGGGGGUGUUGGCUUAAUGGUGAUGGGGGUGUUGGCUUAAUGGUGAUGGGGGUAUUGACUUAAUGGUGAUGGGGGUAUUGACUUAAUGGUGAUGGGGGUAUUGACUUAAUGGUGAUGGAUGUGUUGGCUUAGCAAGAUGUAGGUAACAGGAGAGAGAGACACAGGGAGAGAUGGAGAGAAAAAGAGAUGAUAGAGAGAGUCACUGGAGAGAAUGUCAUGCAGUAUGUAUAUGGACCAGCCUCGUGUGUCAUGCAGUAUGUAUGUGGACCAGCCUCGUGUGUCAUGCAGUAUGUAUAUGGACCAGCCUCGUGUGUCAUGCAGUAUGUAUAUGGACCAGCCUCGUGUGUCAUGCAGUAUGUAUAUGGACCAGCCUCGUGUGUCAUGCAGUAUGUAUAUGGACCAGCCUCGUGUGUCAUGCAGUAUGUAUAUGGACCAGCCUCGUGUGUCAUGCAGUAUGUAUAUGGACCAGCCUCGUGUGUCAUGCAGUAUGUAUAUGGACCAGCCUCGUGUGUCAUGCAGUAUGUAUAUGGACCAGCCUCGUGUGUCAUGCAGUAUGUAUAUGGACCAGCCUCGUGUGUCAUGCAGUAUGUAUAUGGACCAGCCUCGUGUGUCAUGCAGUAUGUUUUCUGUCAGAUAUGUUUUGUCUUCCCAGAGCUGCCGUGACAGAGGCCGGACUCGUGUGGGACCGCGGAGAUGCCGGGUCAAGCAGGGGAGACAUCACGGAGAGUCACACCAAGAUAGAUAGGUCAAUUUAGGUCAACAUAUGUCCUCAGUGUGUUAGUGAGGAUAGGCUAUCACUGGUUAGCUGUCUAAUCAUUGGGAGUGACUAGUGUGCAGAGCUCGGCAACAUUAUGGAAUACUAAAUGAUAUCAAGUGAUUGUUUUUAGUCUUAAGUUUACUCUCUCCUCCUCCUCCUCCUCCUCCUCCUCCUCUCUGUCUAUCUUCAUCCCUUCCUUCCUUUUAAUGAAUAAGUUAUCUUUUGCUUAAUUAACGUUUAUAAUUCUUUCUGGUGGUCAAAUCUUGCAUCUCAUUUCCCUGUCAUCCAUUCUCUCUCCUCCUCCUCCUCCUCCUCCUCCUCCUGCUCAUAAUCCAAUUCCUUCUAUUCUCCUUUAUUCCUUUUUCACUUUCCCUCCUUCCCUUUUCCAUUCCCCCUCCCCGACUUUCCUCCAUUCUUUCCUCCUCUAUUCUUCCUUCAUCUCCUUCUCCUUUUUCUCCUUUCACUCCUCCUCCUCCUCUGUCUAUCUUCAUCCCUUCCUUCCUUUUAAUUAAUGUCUAAGUUAUCCUUUGAGUGACGUUCUUUCUGGCGGUCAAAUCUUGCAUCCUAUUUCCUAUCGUCCAUUCUCUCUCUUCCUCCUUCUCCUCCUCCUCUGUCUAUCUUCAUCCCUUCCUUCCUUUUAAUUAAUGUCUAAGUUAUCUAUCGCUCAAGGUUCCUUCCAGUGUGUUUGUGGUGCCCGGCUCUGCUUGCUAGUUUGUUUUGUCACUGUAUAAUUGUCAAUCCUAGUUUGUUUUGUCACUGUAUAAUUGUCAGUCCUAGUUUGUUUUGCCACUGUAUAAUUGUCAAUCCUAGUUUGCUUUGUCACUGUAUAAUUGUCAAUCCUAGCUAGUUUUGUCACUGUAUAAUUGUCAGUCCUAGUUUGCUUUGCCACUGUAUAAUUGUCCGUCCCAGCCAGGCGCUUCUUCCAUGUAAAGAUAUCGGCAGCUUCAAGCCUUGCCGAUAUCUCAAUCCGUACGUGAAUGUAAAUUAACCGAAAUCCUUGUUACUAAGCCCUGCACGGUGCUCUCUCUCAUAAUGCUUCUUUAAAUUUUCAGUCUCACUUAAUUUCCGGGGUUAGUAAUAUAUUUUGCCAUAAGUUAACUCCCCGUGAUGGCCAGUUUCAUGUACUAUAUAUAAGUAAUUUGCCUUUUGCAUGGCUAUAAUUCUGCAUCUGUGUCUAAGGCCCAGUUUCACAGUUCCUCAUGAUGGGUUAGUAAGCUCCAAAACCAAUACCAGAGCCUUCGAAAUUUCCUUGUACGGUGUCUGGAGUUUAUAUUCAAGUUCACAAGUUUGACGAGACUAUACAGGAAAGGUCUUGUGUGUUUAUGGUACGAAGGAAAGGGAGGAGAAGGGAGAUGAGAUUAGGAGACGAGUGAGCUGAGAUCCUGUUUAUAUUCAAGUUCACAAAUUUGACGAGACUAUACAGGAAAGGUCUUAUAUUGUCAUGAUACGAAGGAAAGGGAGGAGAAGGGAGAUGAGAUUGGGAGACGAGUGAGCUGAGAUUCUGUUUAUAUUCAAGUUCACAAAUUUGACGAGACUAUACAGGAAAGGUCUUAUAUUGUCAUGAUACGAAGGAAAGGGAGGAGAAGGGAGAUGAGAUUAGGAGACGAGUGAGCUGAGAUUCUGUUUAUAUUCAAGUCCACAAAUUUGACAAGCCUAUACAGGAAAGGUCUUGUGUGUUUAUGCUACGAAGGAAAGGGAAGAGAAGGGAGAUGAGAUUGGGAGACGAGUGAGCCGAGAUCCUGUUUAUAUUCAAGUUCACAAAUUUGACAAGACUAUACAGGAAAGGUCUUAUAUUGUCAUGAUACGAAGGAAAGGGAGGAGAAGGGAGAUGAGAUUGGGAGACGAGUGAGCCGAGAUCCUGUUUAUAUUCAAGUUCACAAAUUUGACGAGACUAUACAGGAAAGGUCUUGUGUGUUUAUGCUACGAAGGAAAGGGAGGAGAAGGGAGAUGAGAUUAGGAGACGAGUGAGCCGAGAUCCUGUUUAUAUUCAAGUCCACAAAUUUGACAAGACCAUACAGGAAAAGCUCUCUGUUUAUGAUAUGAAGGAAAGGGAAGAGAAGGGAGAUGAGUAAGCUGAGAUUCUGUUUAUACUCAAGUUCACAAAUUUGACGAGACUAUACAGGAAAAGCUCUCUGUUUAUGAUAUGAAGGAAAGGGAAGAGAAGGGAGAUGAGUAAGCUGAGAUUCUGUUUAUAUUCAAGUUCACAAAUUUGACGAGACUAUACAGGAAAGGUCUUGUGUGUUUAUGGUACGAAGGAAAGGGAGGAGAAGGGAGAUGAGAUUAGGAGACGAGUGAGCUGAGAUUCUGUUUAUAUUCAAGUUCACAAAUUUGACAAGACUAUACAGGAAAAGCUGUGUUUAUGAUAUGAAGGAAAGGGAAGAGAAGGGAGAUGAGUAAGCUGGGAUCCUGUUUAUAUUCAAGUCCACAAAUUUGACGACACAAUACAGGAAAAGCUCUUUGUAUUUAGUGUGUCAUCGAAGACCGCGCCAUUUUGAACAGUAUGGGAUUCUAUAGCUUGGUUCGGGAGUGUUACAAAGACCAUGAUGGACUGUGGAAGUGGCCUUUAAUGUUCCCUUUUCUAAUAUGCCUCUCUGUUUUUGCAGGAUGCCGCGGACGGACCAUGCAGAGGACUCAUCGCGACGACACCGACGGUUUGGUUAAGUGGGUUCUCUUGUGUGUGCGUCUGUGUGUGAAUGGCAGGCCUGUCGUAUGAUUGUGUGUGUGUGUGCGUGGGCGUUAUGCCUUCGCACUAUUAUUUUGUUAGGAUGUAUUUUUUUGUGUGUGAACUUUUUGCACGUAAUCUUUUUUUAUACCCAUAGCUAGCGUUUGUUUGUGUGGCAGUGUUCCGGGAGAUGGACGCCGGGGGACAUGGGCUUGGGGAGGCGCACAUGACCUCCUCUGUCCGUGACCUCUUCAGCUGGGGAGACCGCGUGUUGCCCCGCCUGGAGAGACACGUUGAUGGAGGUGGCCGUGUGUGUCACCCUUUGCCUGUAUCCUCUGGCGUCCAGAGGCGCGUAAGUGGAGCGCAUCGGCGCAGCGCGGGAGCAGCACGUCAGGGUGUAGGGUGUUUGUUUAGCUGGUGUAGGGUGUUAGGGUGUUAGGGUGUUAGGUGUAACAACGGUUGGCUCUUUCACAGAACGG